rnacentral:rRNA from 1 species
CCUACGGGUGGCAGCAGUGAGGAAUAUUGGUCAAUGGGCGCGAGCCUGAACCAGCCAAGUAGCGUGAAGGAUGACUGCCCUACGGGUUGUAAACUUCUUUUAUAAAGGAAUAAAGUGAGGCACGUGUGCCUUUUUGUAUGUACUUUAUUAAUAAGGAUCGGCUAACUCCGUGCCAGCAGCCGCGUUAAUACGGAGGAUCCGAGCGUUAUCCGGAUUUAUUGGGUUUAAAGGGAGCGUAGUUGGGUUGUUAAGGCAGUUGUGAAAGUUUGCGGCUCAACCGUAAAAUUGCAAUUGAUACUGGCAGUCGUGAGUACAGUUGAGGUAGGCAGAAUUCGUGG